rnacentral:rRNA from 1 species
AGAGUUUGAUCAUGGCUCAGAACGAACGCUGGCGGCACGCCUAACACAUGCAAGUCGAGCGCUACCUUCGGGUGGAGCGGCGGACGGGUUAGUAACGCGUGGGAAUAUACCCAUCACUAAGGAAUAGCCACUGGAAACGGUGAAUAAUACCUUAUACGCCCUUCGGGGGAAAGAUUUAUCGGUGAUGGAUUAGCCCGCGUAAGAUUAGAUAGUUGGUGGGGUAACGGCCUACCAAGUCGACGAUCUUUAGCUGGUUUGAGAGGAUGAUCAGCAACACUGGGACUGAGACACGGCCCAGACUCCUACGGGAGGCAGCAGUGGGGAAUCUUAGACAAUGGGCGCAAGCCUGAUCUAGCGAUGCCGCGUGAGUGAUGAAGGUCUUAGGAUCGUAAAGCUCUUUCGCCAAGGAUGAUAAUGACAGUACUUGUAAAG